CCCCGAGCACAGCCUGCACAGCAUCCUACUGCUGAUCCCCGGGGCUUCCUGCGUCCUGGCGCUUCCUGUCCUUUCCCCAAGCCCAGGCAUCUGGGACUUUAAAAAGUCAGAAAGCAACUGGAAAGGAAGGCAUGUGUCUAGCUUGCUCUAUAUCUGCCUUGCAUUGGGAGGCCUUCAGUGGGAAUGUUUUUCUGGAAGCAGUCAGCAAAUGUGAAACACCAUGAAGCCAGGCGAUUGGAGAGGUCUGGUGUGGCAGAUGUGGAUAGCUGGACCCUCCUGGGUGCCUCUGCGUUAUGUCGUUUGGUUGAUGCAUUUGGAGAGAAUCUGUGCUCUCCACAACUGCAGGGGCAACAUGCUUUCCUGGCCUCUUCAGAUCAGGGUGGCUGUUCUUGGGUGCUGCACCAAAACUCCAGCAGUGGGCUUUCUUCAAGUGGCCGGCUCACCUCAUUCCUGCCAAGACCCAGGUCCGUGUUCUCACAGUGCUGCCAUCUUUCCUCCGUGUGAGCGUGGGCUGUGCGGAGAGUGGACCUCGGUGUGUGCGGGGCUGCGUGCACUGCCAUCGCUCCCUCUACACGAGCCGGCGUGGACCCAGGGCUGAGCUGUGACCACGAGGGCCAUCCCGACGAGCCGCCAUGGACCCAGGGCUGAGCUGUGACCAUGAGGGCUAUCCCGACGAGCUGCCGUGGACCCAGGGCUGAGCCGUGACCAUGAGGGCCAUCCCGAAACUGUGAUUGUUUUCUGAUGAAGAAACCAAGGCUUUGUGACUAACUCAACCCCUCAAGAAGGACAAAACUAGCAUCAGAGCCCCUUGCUCCUGGGUCUGGCAAGAAUGCCUCUUGUUUGCUGAGAGGUCCACAGAUUUACCCGGCUCAAGACUGGGAGAUGGGAGGUGACCAGGUGCAAUCGCCUCAUUUAGAUAUUGGGACCCAGAAAUAGAAGACAAUUUACAAUAUAGCUUCCUUUAGGGAUCUGGAUGCUACCAAACAAACAAACAAACAAAAAAAGCCCUCCUGUGAGAUGCCGAGACUUAAUAGAAACCGUGGUUGGAGCUCUUGCCUUUUUCCAGGCCGGUGGAGACCCUCACCCCUGGCAGCCUGACCGUGAAGCAGAGGAGGCAAGAGCUCCGGGAGACAGUCGGGAGGGAGGGGGCCCUGGAGGACAGGCUCCUAGCCCUACUCCUCCUCAAGACCCGGGUGCUGGCCUGUCCCCUGCCUUUGCCCCGAUGGGGAUGAGGGAGAGGAGAUGGGUCAGGGAACAGCUAUGGCCAUUGGGGAAGGUGACUUGGAUGCAACCUUUGAAAGAGAUGCUUCCAGUAAACCCCAUCGGUUAAGAUCAGCUGUCCCCCAUGAUCCUUUGUGUGUGUUUUUUUGUUUUCACACAGGGUCUCGGUCUGUCGCCCAGGCUGAGUGCAGUGGUGUGAUCUUGGCUCACUGCAACCUCCACCUCCUGGGCACAAGCAAUCCUCCUGCCUCAGCCUCCUGGAUAGCUCAGACUACAGGGGUGUGCCACCAUACCCAGCUCAUUCUUUUGUAUUUUUAGUAGAGACAGAGUUUUGCCAUGUUGCCCAGGCUGGUCUCAAACUCCUGGGCUCAAGUGAUCCACCCGCCUUGGCCUCCCACAGGGCUGGGAUUACAGGAGUGAACUCCCAUGCCUGGCCCUCAUGAUCCUUUGUAGACUGAGGGACAAAAGAAGAGGGUGAGGCCUCCCCUCUCCUCAGCGCUGAGUGCAAGGACCCUCAAGGCAACUCUUGGCAAAGCCCCAUGUUUCCACUGGCUGUUUAGGUGGAAUUGCGUCCCCCCGCUUCCGUAUGUUGAAGUCCUAAUUUUCGGGCCCUCCGCUUGUGACCAUAUUUGGAAGUAGAGGCUUUGCAGAUGUCAUGAGUUAAGAUGGGGGCCUCCUGGAGCAGGGCAACAUGACUGUAUCCUCAUAAGAAGAGGAGAGACAGAAACAGACACACACAGGGAGAUGCCACGGGACUCCCAAAGCCACAAGAAAGCCUGGAACAGCCCCGCCCUCACAGCCUCUGAAGGAACCAGCCCUGCCUUCACCUGGAUCUGGGACUUCC
ensembl:lncRNA SNAI3-AS1 SNAI3 antisense RNA 1